rnacentral:rRNA from 1 species
UGCAAGUCGUACGCAUAGCUUCGGCUAUGAGUGGCGCAAGGGUGAGUAAUGCGAAGGUAACCAACCCUGGAGUUGGGCAUAGCCGCGGGAAACUGCGGGUAAUACCCAGCGAUGUUACGAGAUGGCAUCAUCUUGUAACCAAAGGUGUGAUUCCGCUCUGGGACGGGCCUUCGUGGUAUUAGGUAGUUGGUGAGGUAACGGCUCACCAAGCCAACGAUGCCUACCGGGUGUGAGAGCAUGACCCGGCACACUGGAACUGAGACACUGUCCAGACACCUACGGGUGGCUGCAGUCGAGAAUCUUCGGCAAUGGGCGAAAGCCUGACCGAGCGACGCCGCGUGAGGGAAGAAGGCCUUCGGGUUGUAAACCUCUUUCGUAGAGGAGGAAGGGGCCGUGCAGAGCGGUCUUUGACCUAUGCUAGGAAGAAGCUUGGGCUAAGUUCGUGCCAGCAGCCGCGGUAAGACGAACCAAGCGAACGUUAUUCGGAAUUACUGGGCUUAAAGCGCGUGUAGGCGGAUGACCACGUCAGUCGUUGAAAUCCCCCGGCUCAACCGGGGAACAGGCGCUGAUACGAGUUAUCUGGAGGUGGGUAGGGGAGACUGGAACUUCCGGUGGAGCGGUGAAAUGCGUUGAGAUCGGAAGGAACGCCCGCGGCGAAAGCGAGUCUCUGGACCCAUACUGACGCUGAGACGCGAAAGCC